rnacentral:rRNA from 1 species
UACGUAGGGGGCGAGCGUUGUCCGGAUUUAUUGGGCGUAAAGAGCGUGUAGGCGGUUCGGUAAGUCUGUCGUGAAAUCCUGAGGCUCAACCUCGGGCGUGCGAUGGAUACUGCCGGGCUAGAGGGUGGUAGAGGCGAGUGGAAUUCCUGGUGUAGCGGUGGAAUGCGCAGAUAUCAGGAAGAACACCCGUGGCGAAGGCGGCUCUCUGGGACGGUACUGACGCUGAGACGCGAAAGCGUGGGGAGCAAACAGG